UGGGGAAUAUUGCACAAUGGGCGAAAGCCUGAUGCAGCAACGCCGCGUGAGUGAUGAAGGCCUUCGGGUUGUAAAGCUCUGUCUUUUGGGACGAUAAUGACGGUACCAAAGGAGGAAGCCACGGCUAACUACGUGCCAGCAGCCGCGGUAAUACGUAGGUGGCAAGCGUUGUCCGGAAUUAUUGGGCGUAAAGAGCGCGUAGGCGGGAUAGUCAGUCUGUUGUAAAAGUGCGGGGCUCAACCCCGUGAUGGCAAUGGAAACAGCUAUUCUUGAGUGCAGGAGAGGAAAGUGGAAUUCCCAGUGUAGCGGUGAAAUGCGUAGAUAUUGGGAGGAACACCAGUGGCGAAGGCGACUUUCUGGACUGUGUCUGACGCUGAGGCCGAAAGCCAGGGGAGCGAACGGAUUAGAUACCCCGGUAGUCCUGGCGUAAACGAUGGGUACUAGGUGUGGGAGGUAUCGACCCCUUCCGUGCCGGAGUUAACGCAAUAAGUACCCCGCCUGGGGAGUACGGUCGCAAGACUGAAACUCAAAGGAAUUGACGGGGUCAU
rnacentral:rRNA from 1 species